rnacentral:misc_RNA from 1 species
CAUUUUUAUUUUUUUUCCUCCGCGGUCAAUUGACGUUUGGCACGGUGUCGGGCUCGGGACGAGCUUUCCGAAAAGUACUCACGGGCCCCGUGAGUCCAUCGGGAUCGAAAGUUAGGCACGUGAACGCAGGGACGCGCGGAUUCCGUUAAUUGAGAAAUUCCAUUUUUUCGUGCGUAAGUAGUAUUCCGUUAAUUGAUCGGAAAUUGCGCGACGGGUCCUCGAAAGGGGGAAGUUGAACACCCGGGACUUUUCUCGAGAAGAGAAAUCAAUUCGCUUCAAGUAAAUUUUCAAUGCAUAACAUGAC